ACAUACUGAAAAUUACUUUUGGCCUCUUAGUAGCCUUCAGUAAGAUCUUUGUGCCUACAUGAAUAGGAGCAUUAAGCUUAUUACCCAUAAUCAAUAUGUGUGUAAUGAGACCCGUGCUCCGACACUU